rnacentral:rRNA from 1 species
UACGAAGGGUCCAAGCGUUAUCCGGAUUUAUUGGGUUUAAAGGGUGCGUAGGCGGUCCCAUAAGUCAGUGGUGAAAUACUCUAGCUUAACUAGAGGGGUGCCAUUGAUACUGUGGGACUUGAGUAGAGUUGAAGUGGGCGGAAUUGACGGUGUAGCGGUGAAAUGCUUAGAUAUCGUCAAGAACACCGAUAGUGAAGACAGCUCACUAAGCUCAAACUGACGCUGAGGCACGAAAAGUGUGGGGAUCAAACAGG